AUUGAACGCUGGCGGCAGGCUUAACACAUGCAAGUCGAGCGGGGUGAUGGUGCUUGCACUAUCACUUAGCGGCGGACGGGUGAGUAAUGCUUAGGAAUCUGCCUAUUAGUGGGGGACAACAUCUCGAAAGGGAUGCUAAUACCGCAUAUGUCCUACGGGAGAAAGCAGGGGAUCACUUGUGACCUUGCGCUAAUAGAUGAGCCUAAGUCGGAUUAGCAAGUUGGUGGGGUAAAGGCCUACCAAGGCGACGAUCUGUAGCGGGUCUGAGAGGAUGAUCCGCCACACUGGGACUGAGACACGGCCCAGACUCCUACGGGAGGCAGCAGUGGGGAAUAUUGGACAAUGGGGGGAACCCUGAUCCAGCCAUGCCGCGUGUGUGAAGAAGGCCUUAUGGUUGUAAAGCACUUUAAGCGAGGAGGAGGCUCUUUUGGUUAAUACCCAAGAUGAGUGGACGUUACUCGCAGAAUAAGCACCGGCUAACUCUGUGCCAGCCGCCGCGGUAA
rnacentral:rRNA from 1 species